UAGAAGAACUCUCUCAGGGGCCAAUGAGGAAAUUUGUUUGUGGAAAAUUUGUUUAGUGAAAGUGGUGUCUUUCUUUAGUGAAGAGACUCCCCCUUGUUUUUAAACAAUAGAAGAACUCUCUCAGGGGCCAAUGAGGAAAUUUGUGGGGAAACAAUUCAUUAUUUUAAAUGGUAUUUUUAAGAAAGAUUAUUGGCCUUUUUCUGAUCUUUCUUGAGGAAACUGCAUUUCCUUAUCUCCCACAGACUAUCGCAAGAUAAAUGAAUUGGCAACUUGAAUGCAACUCAUGCCCACUGGAAUCUUCAAAGAUGCCUAUUCUACAAGAACUACAGACUGCAGAGUUCUAGAGGGCAUGACCAGUAACAGUGAUGGCAGUAUGGUGGCUAAAAUUUGAGACUCAAAUGCAGAUGCUGAAGCCACACAGUGGCUUUUGGGAUACUUCCUAGACCUCAUUUCAGAGAUAGCCUUGCAGAUUGGGACUACCUGACAUGGAAUUAUGUGUAAAGUUUACUUUCUCCUUAUGCUGCAGACAGAAGCAAACAGGGGGAAUGAAUGACUUCAUUUUUCACUUUUAUGUUUAAUUGAAUUAGAUGAUCAAAUUUGCUGCUUGAUUUGGAAUCUUGUAAACACAGCCUCUAUCAAAAAGAUAUUUUAACUGUUGACUGUCAUGAACCUUUGUAGCCUAAAGAAUAAGAAUUUAAAAAGAAAGCUAGAAAGAUAUGAUGCACAUCAAAUGGAAACAAUUUUUUUUAAUUAAAAUAUUUAAAAAGCCCACUCUAAUGGAAAACUUUUUUUUAGAGAAGCUAGUCUGUAUUGUGUGGCCAAAUUCUUAAUAUUAUCUUAGUCACUAAUUCCUCCAGUGAUCUCAAGGUAGCGGUCAUCAGAAUCAAGUGGGGAUGGGAGGCCUGUUAGGACACAGCUAUCUGGUUCCCCUCUUAGAUUUCAGGAUGAAGCCUGAGAAUGUGCAUUUCUGACAAGUUCCUAGGAGUUUCUGAUGCUAGUCCUGUGACCAUCCUUUGAGAACCACUGAUUGAAUCCAUUGUGCAAACUUUCUCCCUCCUGGGAUAUUUAACAUAAAUUAUUUGGAGGAUCUAUGUUUAACUCUUUGAGACAGACAAUAGUUAGUCCUUCUCAAUAAUUUAUAUGAUGUAUUUUAGUCUCAACUCAUAUUUGAUAUUUAAUUAAAAUCUGAUUGACUUUGAAGGAUAUUUUAGAGGUAUGAAGUAGGAGACAGCAGGGAAUAAGGUAGUGUUUCCCAGACUUAAGAAAUAUACAAAUCCAUUUAAGUUAUUUGUAUAAUAAUGCUUGCUUAUGUUAAAAGAAACAGGGCAGAAAUUUAUUAUGCUAAUGGAUCUUAUAAAUUAUAAUUUGUAAAUUAUAAUUUUAUGUACAUAUUGAUAUAGGUGUAUAUAAAUACAAAUUCUAUAAACAUAAAUUAUGUAUAAUAUAAAAUUAUAUUUUAAUAUACUAUAAUUGAAUUCAAGUUGAAUUCAAUUAAAAAUAUAAAAAAGUUCAAAUCGGCAAAUUUAACGUGGCUAAUGAUGGUGCUGUUUUGAGGAUAUUAAAAUAAUGUUUACAUUGUAACUAUGGCAAGACCUUUCUUCAGCAUGUCAUACCAUUGUGAGUGUGUGGGAAGACCUCUAUUUUCUAUUUUUUUAUUUCAACUCCAGAGAAAUAUUGAGCCAGUGUAACAUGCCAUGGUUUGGCCUUUCCUUAAUUUAUUAUAUCAUUUACUUCUUAGGUCUGCCUGCUUUUUUUUUUUUUUUAAAUCCCCCUAAUCUCUCAACAAUUAGAAUAGUAUUAUCUAAUGCCAAAGUGAGCAUCCAUAUAUUCAAAAGUAUUUGUAUUUUUUUUGUGAGUACCUGUUCUUUUUUCUUUUUCUUUUCUUUCUUUCUCUCUUUCUUUUUCUUUGGAGAGGGUGGGCACUAUUAUAAGUAUGGAAGAAAAGAAAUCCAGAAGAGGGAUCUACUCUCCAAGAGCUCACUGAAUUGGGGCCCAGUGUGGGGGUGGAAGAAGUAUAAGGCCAGUCUGAAGAAGUAGAUUAUGGGGCUCAUAAAGUGAAAUAAAGAGUUUGGAUUUUCUUUGAAUGGCAGUAGGAAGUCCUUGGAGGAUAUUGUUCAGGGAACUUACAUUAUUUGAAAAAAAAUCUGGCCACUCCAUGGAGAAUGAGUUGUAAAAAGGAAGAUUAGUGCUGCAAUUGUGGUGUAGGUCACAACUACAGCUUGGUCUGAUUCCCAGCUAGGAACUCCAUAUGCCACAGGGUAGCCAAAAAAGAAAGAAAAAAAAAA
rnacentral:lncRNA from 1 species